rnacentral:lncRNA from 1 species
UAUUUCUGCAUAAGAACCGAGAGAGAGAGAGGGGAGGAACAACAAGAAGAAAAAAAAAACUCCUUCAUUUCAUCUUCAAUCCAACAACUUAGGGAGAAAUCAAACAAAAUAAACCGAUUAAACUUGUUCUUGAGUGACUAGCUAGUGAGUUGUGGUGUGAUUCUUGAAGGGGAGAGCUUGUGCUACUCUUGGUGACUUUUAUUCAAGGUAAGAGAGUUUAUCUCUCCAAGUUUUACUUCUAAUCUUGUUAUAUUAAGCCUAGUAACUUGAUUUUAGGGUGAGAUUAUGGAUGAUGAGCAUGUUUUAGUAGUUUUCCCCAAUUUAUUUGAUGAACUAGGGUUCCUGAUUUUCUGCUCAAGUUGAUGUAUGAUGCAUGAAUGUUGCAAUUAAAGUUAUAUAAGGUUGUUUAGUGGUGAUUGGAACCAGAAAUUUGAGGAAACUACACUUAGAGCUAAAAAUUCCAGAUUUCUGGAAAAUUUCCCAAGCAUUCUGUCCGAAUUGUAUCUGUAUGUUAGAGGCCGAAUUGGCCUUUGGUCAAAGAAGGAAAGUUGUAGAGAAUGGUGUUUUAUAGGUGCCUACAAAAUUUCAGCUCAAUCGGAGCAACGCAGAACGUGAAAAGUCCAAAUUACCCCUACUGCUUUAAGAAUUUCCCAGUAGUCCGUUUCUUCAGUUCAGUCCAGUUUAUCACGAUUUUUGACCAGGAUCCAUUCUGAUUUAGCUCUGGACCAAAACAUGAAAGUUGUAGUGCUCUGAAGUAGCUUUAAAAUACCUCUAAGAACACCUGAUUCGGACUUGUGUACACUGAGUUAUGUCCAUUACAGUGUUCUGCAUUUAAACAGCCGGUGAAUUGAUUUCUGGUUUGGUAAUUGGAGAAUUUGACCAAUUUACAUUAGAAACUGGACUAAGUGACCUUCAUGAACAUUGUAGCUCUGUGUCUUAGCUUCGAAACGGCAUAGGUUACGCCUCAGUCCGAUAAGCGUAGCCUCGGAUAUGUUAUUUCCGCAUUCGUACGUCAAAUCUGUCUUGUGCUAAGUUGAAUUUCUGCACUUGUCAUUGUUGUGAUUCUUGUUAUUAUGAUAUUGUGAGCCUAUGGAACGGCUCUGGACAUGAAUUGUUGACAUAUGUGAUGUUGGGGUUGUGUUUGAGAAAAACAAUGAAGCCUAAAAGGCUGGAAAAUUAGGUAAACACAAAGGGCAUGCUGCCCAAAUUUACGCUCGAAAACUAGAGAACUACUUGCAACUUGAGUGAGGGUUAAGAGUGAUUACUGCUUGAACCAUCUAGGGUACUUGAGUAUUCUUGUUCCGAGGUAUAUAAGGAAGGACUUGGCCGAACUUGUACCCUUGAGAAAUGAAAUAAUGAUUGUUCAAAGUACGAUUUCCUUGUACUUUCGACUCGCAUGACCAUUUCAAGUAUAAAUGUUACAAAGUUUUAUCAUUUAAAAAGUGAGCGAGUAUUUCACGAGUAUUCUCCAAGUGAAUUUUCAUUUCUUGAUUUUUAUUGAACGAAACGUCUAAGUUUCGAAUCUUAGUCAUGUUUCAAAGUUCUCAAACUGAGUUUUAUCGCAGAUUUGGACUCCGAACCCGGAGUAUAACCUGAAAG